GGAGGGUGCAAGCGUUAAUCGGAAUUACUGGGCGUAAAGCGCACGCAGGCGGUUUGUUAAGUUAGAUGUGAAAUCCCCGGGCUCAACCUGGGAACUGCAUCUGAUACUGGCAAGCUUGAGUCUCGUAGAGGGGGGUAGAAUUCCAGGUGUAGCGGUGAAAUGCGUAGAGAUCUGGAGGAAUACCGGUGGCGGAGGCGGCCCCCUGGACGAAGACUGACGCUCAGGUGCGAAAGCGUGGGGAGCAAACAGGGAUUAGAUACCCUGGUAGUCCACGCCGUAAACGAUGUCGACCCUGGAGGUUGUGCCCCUUGAGGCGUGGCUUCCGGAGCUAACGCGUUAAGUCGACCGCCUGGGGAGUACGGCCGCAAGGUUA
rnacentral:rRNA from 1 species